UACGAAGGGGGCUAGCGUUGCUCGGAAUCACUGGGCGUAAAGCGCACGUAGGCGGCUUUCUAAGUCAGGGGUGAAAUCCUGGAGCUCAACUCCAGAACUGCCUUUGAUACUGGAGAGCUCGAGUUCGGGAGAGGUGAGUGGAACUGCGAGUGUAGAGGUGAAAUUCGUAGAUAUUCGCAAGAACACCAGUGGCGAAGGCGGCUCACUGGCCCGAUACUGACGCUGAGGCACGAAAGCGUGGGGAGCAAACAGG
rnacentral:rRNA from 1 species